GAUGAAGAACGUAGCGAAAUGCGAUAAGUAAUGUGAAUUGCAGAAUUCAGUGAAUCAUCGAAUCUUUGAACGCACAUUGCGCCCUCUGGUAUUCCGGGGGGCAUGCCUGUUCGAGCGUCAUUAUAACCACUCAAGCUCUCGCUUGGUAUUGGGGUUCGCGGUUCCGCGGCCCCUAAAAUCAGUGGCGGUGCCUGUCGGCUCUACGCGUAGUAAUACUCCUCGCGAUUGAGUCCGGUAGGUCUACUUGCCAGCAACCCCCAAUUAUUACAGGUUGACCUCGGAUCAGGUAGGGAUACCCGCUGAACUUAAGCAUAUCAAUAAGCGGAGGA
rnacentral:misc_RNA from 1 species